rnacentral:rRNA from 1 species
CAACUUUCAACAGUGGAUGUCUAGGCUCGCACAUCGAUGGAGGACGCUGCGGACUGCGAUACGUAAUGCGAUUUGAAGAAUCAGUGAGUCACCGAAAUUUGGAACGCAUAUUGAACUUGCGGGUUAGCCCUGGGAGUAUGUUUGUUCCAGUGUCCGUA